rnacentral:rRNA from 1 species
CCUACGGUGUGCAGCAGUGGGGAAUAUUGCGCAAUGGGCGAAAGCCUGACGCAGCGACGCCGCGUGAGGGCUGAAGGUCUUCGGAUCGUAAACCUCUGUCAGCAGGGAAGCACGGUCACUGUGCUAAUCAGCAGUGAAUUGACGGUACCUGCAAAGGAAGCACCGGCUAACUCCGUGCCAGCAGCCGCGGUAAUACGGAGGGUGCGAGCGUUAAUCGGAAUUACUGGGCGUAAAGCGCUCGUAGGCGGUAUGUCAAGUCAAGGGUGCAAUCCCCGCGCUCAACGUGGGAACUGCCUGUGAUACUGGCAGACUGGAGUGUGUGAGAGGAAAGUGGAAGUCGAGGUGUAGGAGUGAAAUCCGUAGAUAUCUGGAAGAACAUCAGUUGCGAAGGCGACUAUCUGGCACAUAACUGACGCUGAGGAGCGAAAGCGUGGGUAGCAAACAGGAUUAGAGACCCGUGUAGUC